GUCCUGUAGCGGGUCAACGUCGUCGUCCUUCGCCGAGCCGGGCACGAUGGCAUCAAGCAAGGCGCGCAAAUCCUUCAUAUCGACCAGCGCGAGGCCGUGCUCGUCGGCGACGCGGAACGCGACGUUGAGAACGCCUUCCUGCACGUCGUUGAGCUGCAGCAUCUGCGACAGCAGCAACGGUCCCAUUUCAGUAACGGUGGCGCGGA
rnacentral:misc_RNA from 1 species